CACGUAGGGUGCGAGCGUUGUCCGGAAUUAUUGGGCGUAAAGAGCUCGUAGGCGGUGUGUCGCGUCGACCGUGAAAACCUGCAGCUUAACUGUGGGCUUGCGGUCGAUACGGGCAUCACUGGAGUUCGGCAGGGGAGACUGGAAUUCCCGGUGUAGCGGUGAAAUGCGCAGAUAUCAGGAGGAACACCGAUGGCGAAGGCGGGUCUCUGGGCCGAUACUGACGCUGAGGAGCGAAAGCGUGGGGAGCGAACAGG
rnacentral:rRNA from 1 species